rnacentral:rRNA from 1 species
CAGUAGUCACGAGUUUGAUCCUGGCUCAGGAUGAACGCUAGCGGCAUGCCUUACACAUGCAAGUUGAACGUAGAGGGGGCAACCCUUGAGAGUGGCGAACGGGUGAGUAAUAUAUCGGAACGUGCCCAGUCGUGGGGGAAUAACGUAGCGAAAGUUACGCUAAUACCGCAUACGAUCUAAGGAUGAAAGCGGGGGAUCGCAAGACCUCGCGCGAUUGGAGCGGCCGAUAUCAGAUUAGGUAGUUGGUGAGGUAAAGGCUCACCAAGCCAACGAUCUGUAGCUGGUCUGAGAGGACGACCAGCCACACUGGGACUGAGACACGGCCCAGACUCCUACGGGAGGCAGCAGUGGGGGAAUAUUGGACAAUGGGCGAAAGCCUGAUCCAGCAAUGCCGCGUGAGUGAUGAAGGCCUUCGGGUUGUAAAGCUCUUUUACUCGGGACGAUAAUGACGGUACCGAGAGAAUAAGCCCCGGCUAACUCCGUG